GCUCCCAUGGCGUAGUGGUCACUGCGCUCGCCUUGCACGCGGGAGACCCGGGUUCGAUUCCCCGCGGGGUCA
rnacentral:tRNA from 1 species